CUAUACAUGACUCUGCGCAUAUCAAUAAGCGGAGGAAAAGAAACUAACAAGGAUUCCCUUAGUAACGGCGAGUGAAGCGGGAAGAGCUCAAAUUUGAAAUCUUCAAGGUUCUACCUUGACGAAUUGUAGUUUAUAGAAGUGUUUUCUGUUAGUAGAGUGGCAAAAGUUCUUUGGAAUAGGACAUCAUAGAGGGUGAGAAUCCCGUAUUUGGUCAUUCUUUCUAGCUUUGUGAUACACUUUCAACGAGUCGGAUUGUUUGGGAAUGCAGUCCAAAAUGGGUGGUAAAUUUCAUCUAAAGCUAAAUAUUGGCGAGAGACCGAUAGCGAACAAGUACCGUGAGGGAAAGAUGAAAAGAACUUUGAAAAGAGAGUUAAACAGUACGUGAAAUUGUCAAAAGGGAAGCGUUUGACACCAGUGUUGUUUUUCCGAAAAUCAAUUACGAAUGUUUUAUUUUUGAGAAGUUAUGACUUCAUCGGCUUGCUUCUCUCUUUACUGAAACUUUCUUAAUGCACUUUUCGGUUAACAAGUCAACAUCAAUUUCUUUUGUUGUAAAAGGGUAUGAGGAAGGUGGCUUUCUUUUCGGAGAAAGUGUUUAUAGCCUUGUACCUCUGCAAUCGGAGAGAUUGAGGUCUGCAGCGUAGAUCCUUCGGGGUUAGAUACAUUUGUGCUAAGCUAUAGUUCUUUAUAGACAACUUGUUGACUAUAGUCUAGUCCUGUAGCUUACUCGCUUAUGCUAUUUUACCUACGCUUAGGAUGUUGAUAGUCACAGCGUGUA
rnacentral:rRNA from 1 species